GACGAACCGUGCGAACGUUAUUCGGAAUCACUGGGCUUAAAGCGCGUGUAGGCGGGGCGGCACGUCGGUCGCUGAAAUCCCCCGGCUCACCCGGGGAAGGGGCGCCGAUACGACCGGCCUGGAGGGACGUAGGGGGGGCUGGAACUUCCGGUGGAGCGGUGAAAUGCGUUGAGAUCGGAAGGAACGCCCGUGGCGAAAGCGAGCCCCUGGACGUCUACUGACGCUGAGACGCGAAAGCCAGGGGAGCGAACGGG
rnacentral:rRNA from 1 species